UUUUUAAGGGCUUAUAUAACAUGCUGUGUACUAGUGGAGUGUUUAUGCUCAUGCUAAAGUUCCUCAGAUGGUGUCAUUCUUCCCACUGAGAAGUCAACAGAGAUGCUGAGUUAGAUGACUUGUGCAGGCACAGGCCCCACCGAGAAGCAGGGGGCACCUGAAUCUCCUUCUACCUCAGUGUAUCAGGGAACAGUGCCUGGAAUGAACAGUAUCUGAGAUUGCAGAGUGAUAAGACAAUUUGAAAUAGGAUUUCUUGCCCAAUUUCCACCCUGGAAUGCUUCCUAACCUGUUCACUUGAUCUUUUUUUUUUUUUUUUUAACCGUGGCAGGUACUUUAAAGCCUUUCAGAAGCCCCCACCCCAGAAAGCACAUUGAGUUAAGUCUUGGAGCUUCUGUCCUUCUUUAAGCACAAACUGAACUCCCAAGGAAGUUUUGCUCUUGACUGAGUUUAAACUUAAUGGUGGCAGAUCUGUGUCACCGUGGUGUCAUUAAUUCUUGCACAGGUGUAUGCAUUCCUUUUCUUCUUAUCUUUCUUAAGUUCUUGCUUAAGAGCUAGGAGAAUGAAUGCUGGUUCUCUAAUAUAAGAGGGAUGUGUCCCUUCCUAAUCUUGCUAGGUAGGCAAUAGGAUGCCACUCCCCUGAAGCCUUUGGGGUUCGGCUGCUGACUGCCUCUUGUUUCCCAUCGUUUACUUUCCCAGCCCCUUCUCUCAUUUCCAUUCUGAGCAACUCAGUGAGAUAAUUUCCCCGCGUUUCGAUUCUGGGCUGUUUCAGUGUUGCGUGUAGUCAUGAGUUUUCAGGUUGACCAGUCUCUACAGUUGAAUGUGGCUCUUCACCAGGUCUGAAAUGAAUAGUGUUGAUGCUAAACGCAAAUCCUCCUCUCCCCCACGCCCCGCCCCCUGAGAACUGCCAUCCAAUCAUGUUCUCCAGUCCCCAGGAAGAUCUGCCCAUCUCUCUGUGAGCAGGGAUCAAUACUGAGUCACCACAGUGACACUAAUCAACCUUAGGCUGAUCUAAAAAUACAUGCCUGCAUGCCUGAGGCUACAAUGUGUACAUAAAUCCAAACCCACAGAAGAAAGUGGUUGUAUUCAGGACCAAAGGAGACCACAGAACUGAGCUGAAGGAUCCCUUCCAGGAGUUUCUCCCUCUGUGAUGGAAGUUGAGACUAUUUUGAAUCUAUCAUGAGUCAGAGGAUGAAGAGAAUCAUGUUCCUGUCUGG